rnacentral:rRNA from 1 species
ACGCUGGGCGGCGUGCCUAAUACAUGCAAGUCGAGCGAAUUGGAUUAAGAGCUUGCUCUUAUGAAGUUAGCGGCGGACGGGUGAGUAACACGUGGGUAACCUGCCCAUAAGACUGGGAUAACUCCGGGAAACCGGGGCUAAUACCGGAUAACAUUUUGAACCGCAUGGUUCGAAAUUGAAAGGCGGCUUCGGCUGUCACUUAUGGAUGGACCCGCGUCGCAUUAGCUAGUUGGUGAGGUAACGGCUCACCAAGGCAACGAUGCGUAGCCGACCUGAGAGGGUGAUCGGCCACACUGGGACUGAGACACGGCCCAGACUCCUACGGGAGGCAGCAGUAGGGAAUCUUCCGCAAUGGACGAAAGUCUGACGGAGCAACGCCGCGUGAGUGAUGAAGGCUUUCGGGUCGUAAAACUCUGUUGUUAGGGAAGAACAAGUGCUAGUUGAAUAAGCUGGCACCUUGACGGUACCUAACCAGAAAGCCACGGCUAACUACGUGCCAGCAGCCGCGGUAAUACGUAGGUGGCAAGCGUNAUCCGGAAUUAUUGGGCGUAAAGCGCGCGCAGGUGGUUUCUUAAGUCUGAUGUGAAAGCCCACGGCUCAACCGUGGAGGGUCAUUGGAAACUGGGAGACUUGAGUGCAGAAGAGGAAAGUGGAAUUCCAUGUGUAGCGGUGAAAUGCGUAAAGAUAUGGAGGAACACCAGUGGCGAAGGCGACUUUCUGGUCUGUAACUGACACUGAGGCCCGAAAGCUUGGGGAGCAAACGGG